rnacentral:piRNA from 1 species
AACUUCACAGAACACCAGCUUGUUGGG